UGGCCCUUUGCUGCUCUGAGAUGGAAAAGACCAGCCCUAAUUUGUUGCUCUAGCUAUCAUGAAUGGGUGCAUGGGAGGGCUAGUUUUAGUUUUAGUUUUUAUGUUAUAUUUUUUUUUAUUGUUUUUUUUUAUUUUUAUUUUUAAUAUAAUUAAUAUUAAACCUUGUCAAAACUAGUAUAGACAAGGGGAAUCCGACUGUUUAAUUAAAACAAAGCAUUGUGAUGGUCCCUGCAGAUGCUGACGCAAUGUGAUUUAUACCCAGUGCUCUGCAUGUGAAAGUGAAGAAAUUCAACCAAGCGCGGGUAAACGACGGGAGUAACUAUGACUCUCUUUAGGUAGUCAGAUGCCUCGUCGUCUAAUUAGUGACAUGCAUGAAUGGAUUAACAAUAUUCCCACUGUCCCUAGCUACUAUCUAUAGAAAUCAUAGCCAAGGGAAUUGGCUUGGUAGAAUCAACAAGGAAAGAAGACCCUAUUGAGCUGGACUCUAGUCUGACUUUGUGAAAUGAGUUGCGAGGUGUAGAAUAAGUGGAUGUUGUUUUUGGCGCAAGUGAAAUACCACUACUUUUAAUGUUAUUUUACUUAUUUUGUGGGGCGAAGAUAGUGCAUUACACAUAUGUUAAAAUAUAAUGCACAUUUCCUCAGAGUGUUGUCAUUGAUGGAAAUGGUCGAGAGCUCAUUCUUCAUGCACUUGAUGGCAAAGAGUUUAGGAAACCAAAGAGGUUGAUCAUUGCUUUUAAGG
rnacentral:ncRNA from 1 species